rnacentral:rRNA from 1 species
CGUGUAGGCGGCUUGUUAAGUCGGAUGUGAAAUCCCUGGGCUCAACCCAGGAAUUGCGUUCGAUACUGGCAAGCUAGAAUACAGGAGAGGAUAGCGGAAUUCCCGGUGUAGAGGUGAAAUUCGUAGAUAUCGGGAGGAACACCAGUGGCGAAGGCGGCUAUCUGGACUGAUAUUGACGCUGAGACGCGAAAGCGUGGGUAGCAAACAGGAUUAGAUACCCUGGUAGUCC